CUGGUGUGGGCAGGAUCCUGGUGAAUCCUGUGCUUGUGUCUUAUUGACCAUCCUGACAUGUGGCCUGAUCAUCAUGAUUUUGGCACUGUUCAGGGAGGAGAAUAUUAGGAAGAGAAGAAGGGGAAAGGGAAGAAAAUUAUCUCCACGUGGAGGAGGAAAACAAAUCACAAGUCUCACACUACUGUGUUACCUGGAGAUACGGUUUCACAGCAGCCUAAACAAGGGAAAAUAAUUAGCUUUCGGACAAGCUUGAGCUGUGAUGUCAGAAGCUAUCCAUGGCUGCUGAAAGAAGUUAUUAGUGCUGAGCUGAUGAAGGCUUCCUGGCAAAGCUCUGCCUCUUUACUAAUUUGUCUCUCUGGGAUUUUAACAAAAUUUAAAAAAAACCCGAGCGUUCAUUGGCAAGUCUGGUAAUUAUCAAUCAUUAAUGGUGUCAGCUUUCCUCCAAGUGCCAUCAGCAGAGUGUCACAAAUGCCCGGGGGGCGGGGAACACACAUCCUUCCCGUGCUGUCCCUGCCCAACACCAGCAGUAAUUGCACCCAAACCGAAGCCGUUUCUCUCCUCCAAAGCGAGGAUACACCCAGGGACAAUCAGCCCCUGUCACUGCCACUGGAACAGCAAGUCCUCAAAGUGAUUGCACUGCACGAUGGUAAAUAUUAUGGGAAGAUAUGGAGUGGGAUGAAUUAAAAACGCCCGUCUGGAUCUAUGGAGGGUUUGAUUUCACCCAGGAGGAAUGAAGAAAUGUGGAUCACUCUGAGCCUUGGAUGUCCGAGGCGUAAUCUAAUUUCUCAAUGUAGUCAACCAGUUGAAAUGUGCAAAAUAUGGAUUCCAUUGGGAAUCUGGCUGAGCUGUGUCUGAUUAGCAUGUGCAACUGUUCAGUGGUGGGUUUUUGUGAGCAUUUAGUCUCUGCUUUAAACAGAAUCAUCACCAGCUGGUUAUUUUUUACUGUUAUUAGGUUAGAAAAUAGCACUGAGGUAUACAACAGUAAUCACAAAGCUGUGAUGCCAGGGAAAAAAUAAUCACGUUAAAUUGACCUUCAUGAAUAAAGAGUGAGGUUCCAUUUCGCCUCAUUUCUGUUCAUUUUAAAACCAGCAUUAGCUUUUCUGGCAUACAGUUUUUCAUUGUUUGCUGAGCAUGGCUCGAUUAGAAUGAUUCACUGUCUUUAAUAUUAGUGAUU